GUGUCCAAGGUCAAUAUGGAAAUUGUUUCAGAGCUUUUCCCUUACUUUGUUCGUGUUAACAAACAAUUCAAAAUACCUCAACUUUUUUAGAACAGGUCCAAGUCAAAUAGCAAUGAUUUGAAACACUUCUUUUUCCAUUACACUAUUUCGAAAACCUAA
rnacentral:rRNA from 1 species